rnacentral:rRNA from 1 species
CAGCAGCAGCCGCGGUAAUACGAAGGGUGCAAGCGUUACUCGGAAUUACUGGGCGUAAAGCGUGCGUAGGUGGUGGUUUAAGUCCGUUGUGAAAGCCCUGGGCUCAACCUGGGAAUGGCAGUGGAUACUGGCUCGCUAGAGUGUGUCAGAGGAUGGUGGAAUUCCCGGUGUAGCGGUGAAAUGCGUAGAGAUCGGGAGGAACAUCAGUGGUGAAGGCGGCCAUCUGGGACAACACUGACGCUGAGGCACGUAAGCGUGGGGAGCAAACAGGAUUAGAUACCCCCGUAGUCCCUGUCUCUUAUAC